rnacentral:rRNA from 1 species
CCUAGGGGGCGCAGCAGUGGGGAAUAUUGGACAAUGGGCGAAAGCCUGAUCCAGCCAUGCCGCGUGUGUGAAGAAGGCCUUCGGGUUGUAAAGCACUUUCAGUGGGGAAGAAAGCCUUGGGGCUAAUACCCUCGAGGAAGGACAUCACCCACAGAAGAAGCACCGGCUAACUCCGUGCCAGCAGCCGCGGUAAUACGGAGGGUGCGAGCGUUAAUCGGAAUUACUGGGCGUAAAGCGCGCGUAGGCGGUCUGAUAAGCCGGUUGUGAAAGCCCCGGGCUCAACCUGGGAACGGCAUCCGGAACUGUCAGGCUAGAGUGCAGGAGAGGAAGGUAGAAUUCCCGGUGUAGCGGUGAAAUGCGUAGAGAUCGGGAGGAAUACCAGUGGCGAAGGCGGCCUUCUGGACUGACACUGACGCUGAGGUGCGAAAGCGUGGGUAGCAAACAGGAUUAGAUACCCGUGUAGUC